UGUGUGUAUGUGAGUAUAUCGAGAUAGAACAUGGAAGGAGAAAAAUUCACUCCUUCAACUAUAACUAGAAAUUCAGCCAUUUGAGAGUGAAUUAGGGCUGAAUUCUUAUGCAUGUGAUGGGUUUCUUAAACAUCCAAGUGUUCUCUACUUAAGGAGUGAAGGAAGAAAGCACGAGCCAAUCCGGGUCGCAAGCAAUGCAAGGUAAAGGUAAAUUGCAUGCUUAGGAAUGGCGAGCUUGGGACGAACACAUCUCAAUGCCCUUUAUGCGCUUCCGGUUAUGUUUAAUGUCAAACGGGUCAAAACUCUUUUGGGUUGUAAAUGCCACUUUUAGACUUAAUGUCUUUUGUAAGUAAGUUAAAUUGGUAGUUGUGGUUUGGUAGUUUGAACAAUGUUGCGUGAAACGCUUUGAUGGCUACGAAUUUUAUAUUUAACCAUAAGGGUAUUUUGGUAAAAAAAUUUGUUACGGUAUGGAAAUUCAAAUUUUAU
rnacentral:lncRNA from 1 species